UGUGUGCUGUGAUGACUUGUACAAGGAUGGUGUCUGAGUGAGUUGGAUUCGCUUUCCUUGCUUGUUUACAUCCAAAACUGAAUAGUCUCUCAGCAAAAC
rnacentral:snoRNA from 2 species